AUUGAACGCUGGCGGCAGGCCUAACACAUGCAAGUCGAACGAGUGGCGGACGGGUGAGUAAUGUCUGGGAAACUGCCUGAUGGAGGGGGAUAACUACUGGAAACGGUAGCUAAUACCGCAUACCAUCAGAUGUGCCCAGAUGGGAUUAGCUUGUUGGGGGGGUAACGGCUAACCAAGGCGACGAUCCCUAGCUGUUCUGAGAGGAUGACCAGCCAAACGGGAACUGAGACACGGUCCAGACUCCAACGGGAGGCAGCAUUGGGGAAUAUUGCACAAUGGGCGCAAGCCUGAUGCGGCCAUGCCGGGUGUAUGAAGAAGGCCUCCGAGUUGUAAAGUACUUUCAGCGGGGAGGCGUUACCCGCAGAAGAAGCACCGGCUAACUCCGUGCCAGCAGCCGCGUAAUUC
rnacentral:rRNA from 1 species